UACAGAGGUGGCAAGCGUUGUUCGGAAUUACUGGGCGUAAAGGGCGCGUAGGCGGUAGCACAAGUCAGUUGUGAAAUCUCCGGGCUUAACUCGGAAAGGUCAACUGAUACUGUGCGACUAGAGUGCAGAAGGGGCAACUGGAAUUCUCGGUGUAGCGGUGAAAUGCGUAGAUAUCGAGAGGAACACCUGCGGCGAAGGCGGGUUGCUGGGCUGACACUGACGCUGAUGCGCGAAAGCCAGGGGAGCGAACGGG
rnacentral:rRNA from 1 species